AUGGGACUCGCCACGGUAGCCGGAACUCGGAUCGGCGGGCGCGUUUGCAAGGGCAUUAGCGGUGGCCAGCGGAAGCGAGUGAGCAUCUGCAUUGAGCUGCUGGCGUCACCGGCGCUCAUCUUCCUUGACGAGCCAACAAGUGGGCUUGAUAGUGCCGCGUCGUACCACGUCAUGAGCCGCAUUGCUGGGAUCGCCAGAAGGAAUGGGACGACGGUCGUCGCAGCCAUCCACCAGCCAAGCACAGAGGUGUUUGAGCUCUUCCAUGGCCUCUGCCUGUUGGCCAAUGGGAGGGCGGUUUAUUUUGGGCCAGCUUCCAAGGCAAUAGAGUUCUUUGAUGCUAAUGGCUUCCCAUGCCUAUUGAGGAGGAAUCCUUCUGAUCACUUCUUAAGGAUGAUAAACACGGACUUUGAGGAAGCCGAGGAAGAAUCAACUGUAAAUUUGGCACAUGCUGCAAAAGUAAUCCAGACUCUAGUGGCUUCUUCUGGCUCUCUUGCUAUUUUAGGAACUGAAAUGGAAGCAAGGAAAACAGAGGGUGACCGUGUACUUCAACGAAGGCAAGCAACGUUCUGGACCAAAUCAAUUGUCCUAACCAAAAGAUCAAUGCUUAACAUGCAUAGAGACAUAGGAUAUUAUUGGUUACGUUUUGUUAUCAACAUCGCACUUUUUCUAACCAUUGGGACCAUUUUCUUCAAUGUUGGUCACAAUUAUGCAUCAAUCCAAGCACGAGCAUCUAUGCUUAUGUUUACAUCAACCUUCAUGACAAUGAUGGCAAUCGGAAGUUUUCCAUCAUUUGUCGAGGAUAUGAAGGUAUUUGAGAAAGAGCAGCGGAGUGGACACUAUGGGGCCAUUGAAUUUGUAAUAGCCAACACACUUUCAUCAACUCCAUACUUGGGCCUCAUCUCCGUACUACCUGCUGCAAUUGCUUAUUACCUAACCGGACUUCAAAGAGGAAUAGAACACUUCUUCUUCUUUGUUGCCACUCUAUGGGCAUGCACAAUGUUGGUUGAGGGUUUGAUGAUGAUUGUUGCAGCCAUUGUACCCGAUUUUCUCCUCGGUAUAAUUACAGGUUCUGGAGUACAAGGGUUACUAAUGCUAAACGCUGGUUUCUUCAGGCUUCCAAAUGACCUCCCAAAACCAAUAUGGAAGUACCCAACUUACUACAUAUCUUACCAAAAGUAUACAACUCAAGGAUUGUACAAAAAUGAAUUCUUGGGCUUGGUCUUCCAAGAUUUAGGUGUUGUCGGGGGCGCCGACAUUAGUGGUCAAUAUAUCCUGAAGAACAACUUACAAGUGGAGUUAGGUUACUCGAAGUGGGCCGAUCUUGCGAUAUUACUUGGAAUGGUCAUUAUAUAUAGGGUGCUUUUCUUGAUCAUUAUAAAGGUAUCAAAAAUGGCAAAACCAUUCAUAAAAUGUCUAAUAGCAAAAGUGUAA
rnacentral:rRNA from 1 species